rnacentral:rRNA from 1 species
UACGGUGGUUAUAGCAAUGGGGCUCCACCUCUUCCCAUACCGAACAGAGAAGUUAAGCCCAUUAGCGCUGAUGGUACUGCGAAAGCGGGAGAGUAAGUCGCCGCCGUUU